GUCUACAGCCAUACCAUCCUGAACAUGCCAGAUCUUGUCUGACCUCUGAAGCUAAGCAGGGUCAAGCCUGGUUAGUACUUGGGAGAAGCUGGUGUGGCUAGACC
rnacentral:rRNA from 10 species